UCUCGGUAUUGAUCAAAUUUCUCCAUGUCGUUGGCAUUCUCAAAUUUUGGAUUCAUUUCAUCAAGUUGUUGCCAUGUAGCAUUCUUUCGGGCAUAAAUAUCUGCAAUAGUUUGUCCAGGUGCUUGUCGAAGAUGAAAAAGAUCUUGAUUGAGUUUGUAAUGUCUUGUCGGAUCUGGUGCAACAUAACGCUUGACCAAAUGAUCUC
rnacentral:lncRNA from 1 species